rnacentral:rRNA from 1 species
UACGAAGGGGGCUAGCGUUGUUCGGAAUUACUGGGCGUAAAGCGCGCGUAGGCGGAUCGCUAAGUCAGGGGUGAAAUCCCAGGGCUCAACCCUGGAACUGCCUCUGAUACUGGCAAUCUGGAGAUCGGGAGAGGUUGGUGGAAUUCCGAGUGUAGAGGUGAAAUUCGUAGAUAUUCGGAAGAACACCAGUGGCGAAGGCGGCUCACUGGACCGGCAUUGACGCUGAGGUGCGAAAGCGUGGGGAGCAAACAGG